rnacentral:pre_miRNA from 1 species
CUUUCCAACGUUUCGGCCGGUGGUCCGGCCUUCGUCAGGGAAUCAUUCAUUCUCUGACGAAGGCCGGACCACCGGCCGAAACGUUGGAAAGU